rnacentral:rRNA from 1 species
CUUCCGCAAUGGACGAAAGUCUGACGGAGCAACGCCGCGUGAGUGAUGAAGGAUUUCGGUCUGUAAAGCUCUGUUGUUUAUGACGAACGUGCAGUGUGUGAACAAUGCAUUGCAAUGACGGUAGUAAACGAGGAAGCCACGGCUAACUACGUGCC